AGUGGUUCUUGGGUGGUCAUCCCGAAAUCGGGCUCCCUCCUUUCUGGUUUCCCAUGUGUCACCUGAGAACCGCA
rfam:Myotis davidii contig48881, whole genome shotgun sequence.